UGGCUUCUAGGGACAGACGAUGGCUAACAGGAUCUGCAAGAACGAGUAGAUUUUCUCCGAGGGAGAAAUGGGCAGAAGACAUCUCAAGAAGAGGGACCGCAGCUUUGCUCCGAGGACCAGCCUCUGACCUGCUCCCUCCUGAUUUCUCAAUUCCUGACAACUCUGGAGGGAACUGUAUCCCUGCAAGGUUCAUAGGCAGGACCAAGUGAUGUCAUGGGAACCUGCAGAUGGCUCUGUCCUCUUCUUUGGCUGGUGCUGAGAAAACUGAUCUUUGCAAUGAAAAAAAAGCACCCAUUUUGGAGGAAUUGUGCUGGCACCCGGACUGACGAUACCUCAUCCCUUGCUGGCUUCAUACAAGGCCUCACUUCUUCUGCUGAAUAGGAAAAUCUGGACACUGUCACAACACACUGGUUUGUUCAUAAAGAAAUGCUGGGGUCAAAUACUCUUGGAGAGGAAAGAAUGCAUUUUGGAUAACGUUGUAAAUAUGGUUAACUUUAUUGAAGCGAGAUCAGCUCAAUGGAGAAUGUUU